rnacentral:rRNA from 1 species
UACGAAGGGGGCUAGCGUUGCUCGGAAUCACUGGGCGUAAAGGGUGCGUAGGCGGGUAUUUAAGUCAGGGGUGAAAUCCUGGAGCUCAACUCCAGAACUGCCUUUGAUACUGGGAGUCUUGAGGCCGGAAGAGGUAAGUGGAACUGCGAGUGUAGAGGUGAAAUUCGUAGAUAUUCGCAAGAACACCAGUGGCGAAGGCGGCUUACUGGUCCGGUACUGACGCUGAGGUGCGAAAGCGUGGGGAGCAAACAGG